UUGUUUCAGCAGCACAUAUACUAAAAUUGGAACGAGAAGAUUAGCAUGGCCCCUACACAAGGAUGACACACAAAUUCAUGAAAAGGGGGGGAGUUGU
rnacentral:snRNA from 1 species